CCUGCCCAGUGAACCAAUCUUUAACGGCCGCGGUAUCCUAACCGUGCAAAGGUAGCGUAAUCACUUGUCCUGUAACUAGGGACCUGUAUGAACGGCCUAANGAGGGCCCAACUGUCUCCUACAACCAGUUAAUGAACCUGAUCUUUCAGUCAAAAAGCUGAAAUAUAAACAUAAGACGAAAAGACCCCGUGGAGCUUUAAGCAACCCACUAUAAAUAGUUUUAGCCACCAUGACUACUAAAUUAUUCUUUAGUAGGACACGCUUUAAGUUGGGGCAACUAUGGAGAAAAAUAAAACCUCCAUGAAUCGGGCUAAAACCCCACCAUAGGCUGACAAGCCAAACAAAACUCAGACCCAGUCACACUGACCAUCGAACCAAGUUACCCCGGGGGUAACAGCGCUAUUCCCCUAAAGAGUCCUUAUCACAAGGGGAGCUUACGACCUCGAUGUUGGAUCAGGACAACCAGGCGGUGUAACCGCUGCCAACGGUUCGUUUGUUCAACGAUUAAUGUCCUACGUGAUCUGAGUU
rnacentral:rRNA from 1 species